rnacentral:rRNA from 1 species
GACGAACGCUGGCGGCGUGCCUAAUACAUGCAAGUCGAACGCUUCUUUCCUCCCGAGUGCUUGCACUCAAUUGGAAAGAGGAGUGGCGGACGGGUGAGUAACACGUGGGUAACCUACCCAUCAGAGGGGGAUAACACUUGGAAACAGGUGCUAAUACCGCAUAACAGUUUAUUCCGCAUGGCAUAAGAGUGAAAGGCGCUUUCGGGUGUCGCUGAUGGAUGGACCCGCGGUGCAUUAGCUAGUUGGUGAGGUAACGGCUCACCAAGGCCACGAUGCAUAGCCGACCUGUGAGGGUGAUCGGCCACACUGGGACUGAGACACGGCCAGACUCCUACGGGAGGCAGCAGUAGGGAAUCUUCGGCAAUGGACGAAAGUCUGACCGAGCAACGCCGCGUGAGUGAAGAAGGUUUUCGGAUCGUAAAACUCUGUUGUUAGAGAAGAACAAGGACGUUAGUAACUGAACGUCCCCUGACGGUAUCUAACCAGAAAGCCACGGCUAACUACGUG